rnacentral:piRNA from 1 species
UGUAUGACCUAAGGCAAGUUUCUCAACCU